rnacentral:rRNA from 1 species
AGUGAACGCUGGCGGUAGGCCUAACACAUGCAAGUCGAACGGCAGCACAGUAAGAGCUUGCUCUUACGGGUGGCGAGUGGCGGACGGGUGAGGAAUACAUCGGAAUCUACUUUUUCGUGGGGGAUAACGUGGGGAAACUUACGCUAAUACCGCAUACGACCUACGGGUGAAAGCAGGGGAUCUUCGGACCUUGCGCGAUUGAAUGAGCCGAUGUCGGAUUAGCUAGUUGGCGGGGUAAAGGCCCACCAAGGCGACGAUCCGUAGCUGGUCUGAGAGGAUGAACGGCCAAAAUGGAAAGAAAAACAGGGCCAGACGCCUGAGGGAGGGAGCAGGGGGGAAUUUUGGGAAAUGGGGGGAAGCCUGAAGCAGCCAAGCCGGGGGGGGGGGAAAGGCCUUCGGGUUGUAAAACUCUUUUUGUGGGGAAAAAAAAACAGGAGAUAAACACCGCGUUGUUUGAAGGGAACAAAAAAAAAAGACACGGAUAACUUCGGG